UACGUAGGGCGCAAGCGUUGUCCGGAAUUAUUGGGCGUAAAGAGCUUGUAGGUGGUUUGUCGCGUCUGCUGUGAAAAUCCGAGGCUCAACCUCGGACUUGCAGUGGGUACGGGCAGACUAGAGUGUGGUAGGGGAGACUGGAAUUCCUGGUGUAGCGGUGGAAUGCGCAGAUAUCAGGAGGAACACCGAUGGCGAAGGCAGGUCUCUGGGCCAUUACUGACACUGAGAAGCGAAAGCAUGGGGGAGCGAACAGGA
rnacentral:rRNA from 1 species